AAGUCGGGCCUGCCCACUGAGUAAUAGAAGGGCCGCGGUAUUUUCACCGUGCAAAGGUAGCAUAAACAAUAGUCUUUUAAUUGAAGGCUGGAAUGAAUGGUUUGACGAAGUAUUAACUGUCUCUAUGUUAUAUUUAGAAUUUAUCUUUAAAGUUAAAAGACUAAAAUACUUAUAUGGGACGAGAAGACCCUAUAGAGCUUUAUAUAAUUAUAAGAUAUAUAUGUAUUUAGUGGUGUUCGUGUAUUAUAUUAAUAUAUUAUGUUGGGGAGACAUCAAGAUUAAAGAAACUCUUUAUUUAUAUUUACAAAGAUUUAUCAAUACAUCAUCCAUUAUUAUUCAUUGUAUGAUAAAGUUACCUUACGGAAAACAGCGUUAUCUUUUGAGAGUUCAUAUCGACAAAGAAGAUUGCGACCUCGAUGUUGGAUUAAGAGAAAGAUUAAGUGCAGAAGCUAUAUUAUUAUGUCUGUUCGACUUUAUAAUUCUUAC
rnacentral:rRNA from 1 species